rnacentral:rRNA from 1 species
GACGAACGCUGGCGGCGUGCCUAAUACAUGCAAGUCGAACGGUCUUUUCUAUGGAAGCUUGCUUCCACUGAGAAGAUAGUGGCGAACGGGUGAGUAACACGUGGGUAACCUGCCCAUAAGAGGGGGAUAACAUCCGGAAACGGGUGCUAAUACCGCAUAGGUUUCUUGGUCGCAUGAUCGAGAAAGGAAAGACGGCCUUUGUGCUGUCGCUUAUGGAUGGACCCGCGCUGCAUUAGCUAGUUGGUGGGUAACGGCUCACCAAGGCCACGAUGCAUAGCCGACCUGAGAGGGUGAUCGGCCACACUGGGACUGAGACACGGCCCAGA